GCCGGGCAUGGUGGUCCAUGCCUGUAAUUCCAGCUACUUGGGAAGCUGAGGCAGGAGAAUCACAAGUUCAAGGCCAGACUGGGUAAUUUAGCAGACCCUGUCUCAU
rnacentral:sRNA from 1 species